CAUCCAUUCAAGAAUUAAUGAGUCGCCAGUUUUCUUUUGCUUCAACUUCAAUAGUGGUCUUCAGUUCAUUGUACAUUUCAAGUAGCAAUCUAGUAGCUGCUCUGAUGCGGAUGUUGUUCUCAAGAAACUAUAAAAAUAAAUAAUAAAUGGUUUUAAUAAUUGGAUGAUGGACUAGUUGUUAUUAACUAGAAUAAAUAAGUUUGUAAAUUAUUGCGAAUGUUUUUU
rnacentral:lncRNA from 1 species